AAUUUGCCAUUAAUACUGGUAAACUGGAGUACAGACGAGGUAGGCGGAAUAAGUUAAGUAGCGGUGAAAUGCAUAGAUAUAACUUAGAACUCCGAUAGCGAAGGCAGCUUACCAGACUGUAACUGACGCUGAUGCACGAGAGCGUGGGUAGCGAACAGGAUUAGAUACCCUGGUAGUCCACGCCGUAAACGAUGCUCACUGGUUCUGUGCGAUAUAUUGUACGGGAUUAAGCGAAAGUAUUAAGUGAGCCACCUGGGGAGUACGUCGGCAACGAUGAAACUCAAAGGAAUUGACGGGGGCCCGCACAAGCGGAGGAACAUGUGGUUUAAUUCGAUGAUACGCGAGGAACCUUACCUGGGUUUAAAUGGGAAAUGUCGUAUUUGGAAACAGAUAUUCUCUUCGGAGCGUUUUUCAAGGUGCUGCAUGGUUGUCGUCAGCUCGUGCCGUGAGGUGUCGGGUUAAGUCCCAUAACGAGCGCAACCCUUACCGUUAGUUGCUAGCAUGUAAUGAUGAGCACUCUAACGGGACUGCCACCGUAAGGUGAGAGGAAGGCGGGGAUGACGUCAAAUCAGCACGGCCCUUACACCCGGGGCUACACACGUGUUACAAUGGCCGGUACAGAGGGCCGCUACCAGGUGACUGGAUGCCAAUCUCAAAAGCCGGUCGUAGUUCGGAUUGGAGUCUGUAACCCGACUCCAUGAAGUUGGAUUCGCUAGUAAUCGCGCAUCAGCCAUG
rnacentral:rRNA from 1 species